UAAUAAGUGUUUUAUGGCACUUUUUAAAUCCAUAUCCACCUUGUGUGCAAUGUCAGUCGAUCUUCUUUAUUGGAGAUCGACCAAACAUCAACCUUUAUUUUUUAACUCUUUGUCUGAAAAAUAUUAUGAAUAAACAAUUCAAAAUA
rnacentral:misc_RNA from 1 species